UCGCUAUUGUGUCUACUCGAUGUUAUGCCGCGUUCAUGUGCUAGUCGUAACAAGGAAACUCGGACAUUUCGACUUGCUAACUGGUUGAACAUUUCCGAGUUUGCGACUUGCUCGAACUGGUUGUAGUUAUUCAUGAUACUGCAUUAGUUCCGACUAGAACGAGACGCGGAAUACCUCAAGAGUGGGCUACAGUGAUGAUGCGAUGCUGCGUAGGCUACGUGUGAGUGGGAUGCAAGUAGCUUGCCGCCGACAUUCUCGUUGCUGGGUGCACGCACUGUAGGCUACUGCGGUAAGGAUGCGUCUGCUGACUGGCUCGAAUAAGAUGAGCAAAGAGACUUACAGAAAAAUAUGAUUUUAUUUUUAAAGCAGCCUUUUGACUUCGAUGCAGGUAUAGGGGACCUUUUCCACCUUUAAAUGUAUGUAUAGUAGCCUAAAUAAACCCUCGUCGGUCGAUGCUCAUGGUGUCGUGUUCGUGGGAGACGCAUAAAAUGAUCCUACAGACAGACGCGAGUCAAAUACGACAAUUAUGAAAUGAAGGUUAACGUCAAGCAGACAACAUUCAACAGCAAUUAGAUGUCUGGCAACGUCUUGCUCGGAGAAUCUGAGUAUGAAAUGGUUGUUUAGGUAGACUGAAUUGGUUUACAUGCCUGACACCCAUUGAUAAAAGCUACGUAUCUGGAUGGAGAACACUGUUGACAGCACUGUCACUGAAUAUUACUCAGAAAUACACAGCGCGUCAUUACUUUGAGUGUCUAUUCUUCAUGCGUUGAAGCCUCCUUGUUAAGGUACAUAGACGUUUGAAGAUUGCACAUUGGCUAGUAUUUUUUUGAUACUAUCUUAAAUAAUCUGAAGGCUGCAACAAUGAUCCAGCAGAACAAUAACAACAACUACCCAUGCCUGGAGAUGUCUGGCUCCCCCAGGGAGGUGCUGCAGAAGUGCCAAAAAAGCAAUCUUUCCUUCACCAGACGCUUGGAGCUUGGGGACAUGCCCUUAGUCAAGGGCCUUCGGGCCUGGGCUGCGUGCUCCAAGAACCGCAGGAGGGCAGCACCUCCCCCCAGGUCCCAGGGAACGUGCCCCAGGCCUGCAGAUGUCUACCCAGUGGGACAGUGGGGCAGGCUGGGUUAUGGUCUGGGGCUACCGCUGGACUCCAACUAUGCCUCCAACCCCAGACAGACAGGCCUGGGGGCACUGGUGACUGUGGCCACGUUGAAGGCCUCUGAGGGAGGUGGUCAGACUCAGACAAGCUGUCUGUUCCUCAAGACGGAGGGUGGAAGGUGCCUCUACUCUACAGGCAGUCCAAGGCCCUGCACUCAAAGUCUGGUCCCUCAGUCCCCCUCCACGCUGGUGGGCAGCUGGCUGAGGGAUAAAGUGGGAGGGGUCAGGGACUCCUCCAUGGUGGGGAAAAUGGGGGUGCAGGAUAUGGGAGGGGCCUUGGGGUCAUACCAGGUCAAAUCGAGGUCAGCCCAGAGGUGGAGAACAUCCUGCAAGCCUGUGGUUUCCAUCCAGGGGAGAACACUCCGGAACAGGGAGAAUGCUGGCGAGCAUACCCUGGAAGGGAGCCAGGAAAGCAGGGACAAAGGAGAGUUUCCCAAAGCUGGUCAGGACACUCUGAGUGGAAAACAAGACCGAGGGAGUACUAGAAGCCCCAAAUGCAGUCACGCUCAGACCCUGACCUGCACCCAGUGUCACGGGCGGAGAGGAGGGCAGGGGAGCAGCGGGGGUCAGAGGGGAGCUGCCUCUGUAUGUGAGCAGGAUCAGUCGAGCUGCGGUGUGGAGGGGAUUAAGGAGAAGGAGGAGGGGAAAGUGCAGGAUGGCACUGGUCUCACCCGGUCAAAGCCCUGUGACUCCUCCCUGCCUCCAGACAAUGCUGACCCAGAAAACUGCAGCAGUGACGUCAGGGACCGGGGAAAGCCAGACAGCCCACGCGCACAGGAGGGGCUGCAUCCUGAAACUUCUUUCAACAAGGAGCACUUCCAGGACAAACUAUGGGACAAAGACAUACAUACUGGAGGCAACGAUGUGGCCAGUGGUAUCAUGAGUCAUGUGGAAGACUUUGAUGGCAUGGUGGGUGCUGUGAUUGGGUUUGUGGAUCAUAUCAAGUCUGCAGAGUGUGAUUCAGAGAGGCUAAGGGGAACCGGGGAGAUAGCUGAGGGGAAGCUGCCCAACAGGUGGAUCGAUAGUCAAACUUCAGAGAGCCACUGCUGCUCUGAGAGAAGCUGCCUCAAAGACUGCUCCACUCAACCACCCAGACCAGUUGAGGGCAGCAUUUCUACUGCUCCUGAUGAGACUGGCUAUGGUCAGAUAAAUCAGGAAACUAAAUCAGAUAGUCAAUACAAUAAGCUUUGUGAGAAAUGUCAGCCAGAAGAAAAAGAUCCUGUGGCAGUGGAUAAAGAAGGUUUACAAGAAUCUGUACAUGGCCUCUGUGAGGAAGAGGAGAUAGAGGGGGAGGAGGGGAUCCAGUCAACAGCACCAGAAAUUAGGGAGCUCUGUGGGGAGCAUGGAGAGAUACUGCCUGAGGUCAGGAGCACAGAUGAUGAGGCCAGGCUGGUAAAGGGAGACAUCAUAUCCCAGAGAACUGAGCGAGGGCCUCACUGGGCAACGGAGGAACAUGAGUGCGAGGAGACAUGUAAUAUGGAAGCGAGGUGUUUUUCAGAUUUACCAGCUAACCUAACUGAAGAGGCCGUAGUAAGGUGGAGGAAGGCAGGGACUAGGCAGUUUAAUUCCCGUUUACAAGGCUCUGCUGUUGCUGGCCCUGCUACCUCUGUCACACACUCGCCACCUAAUCUGGCCUCCUCAAGAGCCAUGGCAACAGGCCUCCCUGCUCCGAAUGGGGGGCAGACAGACGCUGGAGGUGGGUUUCUGGUGCCUCUGCUACGGAGCCCAGGGGAGCAGGAGUGGAAGAGGGGCCCGGACGAGAGCAAGGUGGCCUCCAACAGGGGGUUCCUGGAUGGGGGGCCAGAGGGGGAGGAUGACUUUGGGCUUUUCAUGCAGGCAGAGGAGCAGCUGCCCUGGUACGACAGCUUCACUGCAUCACCCCUAGUGUCUUCUGGGAAAAGUGAGAGUGUUGGUAAGUCCCCAGCCUACGGCACCUCAGAAAUGUGACAGGGGCUCUUUUUAAAGACAUCCAGACACGACACACACAUAACAGAAACUUCUUAUGACUAUCACAUCCUCCAGUUAGAUUAUGCAAAUGUGACAGAGGCAGCAGUAAACAGCAGAACAUGAAAAGGCUUUUGAAAACCACAAAGACAAGUGCUCUGAUGUGAACAGUAUCGGUAACUCUCUUUGUUGUGGUUUGCACCAUGCAGCAGCCAGGGCAUGUAGACACGUUGCUCCCAAUGCCCGAGUGGCACAGCGGUCUAAGGCACUGCGUCUCAGUGCCAGAGGCAUCACUACAGACCCUGGUUUGAUUCCAGGCUGUGUCACAACCGGCCGUGAUUGAGAGUCACAUAGGGCGGCGCAUAAUUGGCCCAGCGUCGUCCGGGUUUGGCUGGGGUAGGCCGCCAUUGUAAAUAAGAAUUUGUUCUUAACUAACUUGCCUAGUUAAAUAAAGUUGAAAUAAAAUAAACAGUUAUUCAUUCUGGUCUGACCUGGAUUCUUGAGGGCCCUCUCCUCUCCCAAACUCAUGUGAAGGUAGUGCUAGUGCUCUCUGCUUUGGGAUGUAAGGCGUGUGAGCCUCAGGACAUGGGGUUCCAUGUUUAAAGAGACAGAGACCCAGGCAGGCAGCUCUGCCGUGAUUGGGAGAGACCAUGCAGGGUGACAUCCAUCCCAACGUUCCAUCCCCAUGUAACCUCAAACAUCAUGCAAAGACAAAACUCCCCAUCAUUAGUGUCUAAUGGUAAUAACACAGGUCUAAUCAUUGUUGUUGUCACGAUUAUGUCAUAUGUCAGUUAAAGCAAUGGCACUUGCAAUGGCAGUGACAUUUAACCAAGUGUAUAAAUCAAAGUUACAAAAAUAGUUGUCAGAUUAUAGAAGGUAAAAAAAAAAAACUUUUAUUUGUUGCCCAUUCAGGCCAUUUGAAUGAGGACAGCAUGCAAAAUAGCCGCCUAUUUGGAGCAUACACCAGGUCCCUGCACUUUGAGGUCGACUCAGUGCAAGGCAUACAGAUCAUAUAGAAUCAAUAGAAUCUAGCUAGUGUCGUAAUGAUUCAUGUCUGAUGCCUUCCAUGCUGCACUUGAAAACCAUUCCAUCACCAACGAGUCUACCCAUUGGACCUCAGGUUGGACAGACAGCUCAUUCCAACAAUCAGAGGAUGCCUGGACAGCCUUUCCAAAGGAUAUAGCGGGAGAAAGGCAAGACACAAGAGAACAGUGGUGGCCCACAAAUGCUGUAGAGGAGACAAGGGGCAGAUUCUCUGCCACGCAAAAUGUGGUAGGCCUUUAAAUCUCUCCAUCUUUCCUCCGAAGUGACUACAAAAGACAAGGAGUCAAUUUAUUGCAUAUUCCUGUAAUCUCCAGGAGUACAUGGUCCAUGGGACUGACUGGAAAUGAUACAUACACAUUUGUUCUUCAUUUUUCAUUAUUUCCAUCUUUCAGAACAAAGUGUUUGUGGAGGCCUUCCCGUCUCUGUCUACUCCCCUGUAUGAUCGUGAUGCUGUUCCCACACUCAGCCAGCUCCUCAGAGGCGUCUUGGAUCAUGAAAGCUCUGCAGAAGAUCAUGGCUUACUCGAUGGGUUCCAUGACUUGAACAAGAUGUUUGGCUUGAAAUAUAAGAGGGCAAAUGCUGUUUCCCGUGAACGUCUUCUACAGUCGCUACAUUUGGGCCAGUGUAACACGGAAAAUAUGACUGGGCACCGAGCAGCCAACUACAGUCCCUCUCUUGGCCUCCCCUCGUCCAGUCAGCAUGCACAGGCCUGUGGGAAGAGACGUUUAUCGUAUGUCAACAAGAACAUCAUGGAAUAACCAAAAUGUCCACUUUCCCUGAACUUCAACAACACAUUUAGCCUUUUUCAUGCAUGUCCAUGCCAAACCACUAAUGGGACACAGUCUUCAUCUCCAUGGGGAGAAAUAACUAAACAUUUCACAAGAUUCAGAACUCGGAGGAUGCUCUCCUUGGGCCGACUGGACCACCUGACUAUAUGGUGAUCCUUAACAAUGCCCUGUUUUGCUUUGCCUUCGCUGGAGUUAGAUCACCGAUGCAUACCUGUGACAAAUUUGAUCAAAUUAAGCACUAAUUGUAAUUUUUGUCUCACAGAUAUUUUUAAAAUACAUGCAAAUGUUUAACAUUCUUAUAAAUCUUAUUCUUAUGGACUAUAGGAAAUGUUAAAGUAAUUAGUGUUUGCCCGGAGAAGUGGAUGUCUAUACCCCCCCCUUUGUUCACUCCCACCCUCUUUCUCACACACACACUGACAUGGACACAAACAACAAACAACAAACACACACUAUCCUCUCCCGUCACGUGAUCUGGCCCAAACGUGCCGGUGACAACUCUGGAGCAGAAUAUACUGUAGGUUUAGCAAACAUUGGAGCUCACAUGGAUCACAGCUCCUUUUCUUAUUAUCAUAGUAAAUAAUGACCAUGUUUUCUGAAAUGAUAUCCUUUAAAUUGGGGGUGUUUCUGGCUGUCAGAAUACAGUUGUUUUGUGCUGGCAAAGAGAAAAUGUGUUAUUUUACCAGUACACGUUUGUUUUAGAUCACAAAAAGCAGUCAAGUCCUAUUUAGAUUCUAUUUGUUUCUCUCUUGAUUGUUGUUUGUGGGUAACCCAGGGCAAAUCAGUAGGCCUACAGAAAAUGUAGUGAAUGUUUGUCAUUUGUACAUAAUAUGUAUUCUUCAAGAAAAAUGCAGAAUUGAGUUGUCCAAAUUGAUAAAACUACAUAGUCAACUUGUUAAUUGAUGUAAUAAAAUGAUACGUUGAUUACUGUUUUCC
ensembl:lncRNA